GUGAAUCAUCGAAUUUUUGAACGCAAAUUGCACUCUCCUCGGAGGGUAUGCCUGUUUGAGGGUCAGCCUAUAAAAAAUCGACAUCGUUGCUGUUUCGCGGUGGCGUUCGUCGGAAAUUGGGUCAACUUUAAUCCUUUUGGUUUUUAAGCGACUUAAAAUUUUCUUUUUGGUUCCAUGAACGUUUCUAAGAUUUAUUUUUUUACCAGUUUAAGGUAUUGAUUUUUAUUAAGAGUUACCAUCAUAUCGGAU
rnacentral:misc_RNA from 1 species